GCUCAGACAGCUAGGAGGUUGGCUUAGAAGCAGCCAUCCUUUAAAGAAAGCGUAAUAGCUCACUAGUCGAGUCGGCCUGCGCGGAAGAUGUAACGGGGCUCAAACUGGUUACCGAAGCUGCGGCUGCAUACUUUGUAUGCGGGGUAGGGGAGCGUUCUGUAAGCCUGCGAAGGUGUGUUGAGAAGCAUGCUGGAGGUAUCAGAAGUGCGAAUGCUGACAUGAGUAACGACAAUGGGGGUGAAAAACCCCCACGCCGGAAGACCAAGGGUUCCUGCGCAACGCUAAUCGGCGCAGGGUGAGUCGGCCCCUAAGGCGAGACCGAAAGGUGUAGUCGAUGGGAAACGGGUUAAUAUUCCCGUACCCUGGAUAGCUGCGAUGGAGAGACGGAGAAGGCUAGGUGAGCCGGGCGACGGUUGUCCCGGUUUAAGCGAGUAGGCAGUGGGAUUAGGCAAAUCCGGUCCCACAAUGCCGAGACGUGACGACGACUGCCCUUUACGGGCGGGAAGUCAUUGAUGCCCUGCUUCCAGGAAAAUCUUCUAAGCUUCAGGCUAUUCGGGACCGUACCCCAAACCGACACAGGUGGUCAGGUAGAGAAUACCAAGGCGCUUGAGAGAACUCGGGUAAAGGAACUAGGCAAAAUGGUGCCGUAACUUCGGGAGAAGGCACGCCGGUGGUAUGUGAC
rnacentral:rRNA from 1 species